rnacentral:miRNA from 10 species
GUGCACACCUAUGUGUGCAUAUGGGUAUGUGUGCAUACACGUAUGCAUACACAGACACACAUACCCAUAUACAUACAUGCACAUGCAUAUCCACCCACA